UGGGAACACGGGUGUCAGGCACUCUCUCA
rnacentral:piRNA from 1 species